rnacentral:rRNA from 2 species
UAGGGAAUCUUCCGCAAUGGGCGAAAGCCUGACGGAGCAACGCCGCGUGAGUGAAGAAGGAUUUCGGUUCGUAAAGCUCUGUUGUUAGGGAAGAAUGAUUGUGUAGUAACUAUACACAGUAGAGACGGUACCUAACCAGAAAGCCACGGCUAACUACGUGCCAGCAGCCGCGGUAAUACGUAGGUGGCAAGCGUUGUCCGGAAUUAUUGGGCGUAAAGCGCGCGCAGGUGGUUUAAUAAGUCUGAUGUGAAAGCCCACGGCUCAACCGUGGAGGGUCAUUGGAAACUGUUAAACUUGAGUGCAGGAGAGAAAAGUGGAAUUCCUAGUGUAGCGGUGAAAUGCGUAGAGAUUAGGAGGAACACCAGUGGCGAAGGCGGCUUUUUGGCCUGUAACUGACACUGAGGCGCGAAAGCGUGGGGAGCAAACAGG